UUCUUGCUGCAGCUUGCUGAGGACUUGGGUGCGUUGCCAGUCUGGGUUUUCAACAGCGUUGGUUAUUUUCAGGAAUCAGCCAUGAAGAACAAGUUAACACUUCCAAUAUCUCACCUUUCGUGCAAGAUACCUUAGAUGGUAUUGAAUUUUCAAGGGGUGCUUCUAACUCAACAUGGGGUUCGGUUCGAGCUGCAAUGGGACAUCCAGAGCCCUUUGAUUUGAGAUAUGUCGCUGUUGGAAAUGAAGAUUGUGCAAAGAAAUUCCCACAGUACAAGGGUAUGCAAACCUCAUUGUAUUUGUCACAGAUCACAUAAUUUGUUCUAUGUUCUAUAGUUGCACGGGGUUCAUAGACUCCAAUGAAUUUUGAGGAUCGAGUCAAGACCUGAAAUCUUUGUAAAUAUUCAGGAAACUACCUCAAGUUGUAGUGUCCAGCCCAUGUUCAUAAGCAGAAAAAUCUGGUCAAGAUUUUCUGCAUUCCUAACUCUUACUUUGUCAAUUGGC